UACGUAGGGUGCAAGCGUUGCCCGGAUUUAUUGGGCGUAAAGGGCGCGUAGGCGGCUACGCACGUCCGUUGUGAAAUCCCGAGGCUCAACCUCGGGUCUGCAGUCGAUACGGGCGGACUGGAGUUCGGCAGGGGAGACUGGAAUUCCUGGUGUAGCGGUGAAAUGCGCAGAUAUCAGGAGGAACACCGGUGGCGAAGGCGGGUCUCUGGGCCGAUACUGACGCUGAGGAGCGAAAGCGUGGGGAGCGAACAGG
rnacentral:rRNA from 1 species